rnacentral:rRNA from 1 species
AAAAUUAAAAGUCUAAUCUGCCCAAUGAUUCUUGAAUGGCCGCGGUAACUUGACCGUGCAAAGGUAGCAUAAUUAUUAGUCUUUUAAUUGAAGGCUUGAAUGAACGAUUGAAUGAAAAAUUAACUUUAUUAAUAAAAAUUAUUUAAUUUAUCAUUUAAGUAAAAAUUCUUAAAUUUAUAAGUGGGACGAGAAGACCCUAUAGAGUUUUAUUUCUUUUUUUAUUAUAAAAUUCAAGAAAUUAUAUUUAUAUAAUAAAAAUAGAUUUUUUAUUGGGGUGAUAUUAAAAAUUAAUUAACUUUUAAUAAAUAUUUCAUUAAUAUAUGUUUAAUUGAUCCAAAAAUUUUUGAUUAUAAGAUUAAAUUACCUUAGGGAUAACAGCGUUAUUAAUUUGAAGAGUUCAAAUCGAUAAAUUAGUUUGCGACCUCGAUGUUGGAUUAAGAAAAAUUUUUGAAGUAGCAUUUAAAAUUUUGGGUCUGUUCGACCUUUAAAUUCUUACG